CGUUAGCAAUCUUCUGAAGCGGGGCUACUGCCAAGAACUACUUUCAGUUUCCUUUCAUCUGAGAAUGUGUCUAAUUCCCCUUAAGUGCUGAAGGACAUUUCACCGAUACAAGAUUCCAAGUUGACGCUUCAUUUCUGAUGCCACUUCCUUCCGAUGCAGAGUUGCUUUGUCUGAGCUGAACUGCAGGUGUGAGGCCUGGUUGCUUCACUGUCUUCUCAGGCUCCCAAGAGAUUAUUGAUGACCACAGUUUGGAAACCUCUCAACCUUGAUCAUUCCUUGAUGUCUUCUAGAGUAUGAGUGGGAGAGAAGCAGAGAGAGAGGGAGACACAGAAUCUGAAG